CGUCCUAUUAGCUAGUUGGUGAGGUAAUGGCUCACCAAGGCUACGAUGGGUAGGGGUUCUUAGUGGAAGGUCCCCCACACUGGCACUGAGAUACGGGCCAGACUCCUACGGGAGGCAGCAGUAGGGAAUAUUGGUCAAUGGGCGCAAGCCUGAACCAGCCAUGCCGCGUGCGGGAUGAAGGCUCUCUGAGUUGUAAACUGCUUUUGUACAGGAGCAAAAAAAUCCCUGCGGGGGUUCUUGAGAGUACUGUAAGAAUAAGCACCGGCUAAUUCCGUGCCAGCAGCCGCGGUAAUACGGGAGGUGCAAGCGUUAUCCGGUUUUAUUGGGUUUAAAGGGUGCGUAGGCGGCUUAUUAAGUCAGUUGUGAAAUCCUAUUGCUUAACGCUAGAACUGCGAUUGAUACUAUU
rnacentral:rRNA from 1 species